AGGACGAACGCUGGCGGCGUGCUUAACACAUGCAAGUCGAGCGGUAAGGCCUCUUCGGGGGUACACGAGCGGCGAACGGGUGAGUAACACGUGGGUGACCUGCCCUCAGCUCUGGGAUAAGCCUGGGAAACUGGGUCUAAUACUGGAUAUGACUGCGCAUCGCAUGGUGUGUGGUGGAAAGUUUUUUCGGCUGGGGGAUGGGCCCGCGGCCUAUCAGCUUGUUGGUGGGGUGAUGGCCUACCAAGGCGACGACGGGUA
rnacentral:rRNA from 1 species